rnacentral:lncRNA from 1 species
CUCAGCUACUCACACGCUCUACAUAUAGGCAUUGAGCACCACUAUAUCUGAGGCCCCGUCUUCAUGCUGGGACCUGUUGAUGGGGUCGUACAAAGCUCCCAUCCUCAGCACGUUCACAUGAUGACGAUGAAGGCUUACAGGACGAGAAUGAGGAGAAAACGAAUCUCACCAAUCUCCCUCUUACCUGCUUUCUAUCUCCAUGUAGACUGGGGAAAACAAAGUCCAAGGCUAUUAAAAUAA